UCUCGUAUCUAUCAUAUAUUAUCAUUCUUUUAUGCUAUCUCAGAAAGUUCGUGUAACUUUCGGACCUUUUACGAUAACCCGUCGUUCCAAUUCCCUUUAGGAAAAAGCGUUACGUAUAUCAGAAUAAUCACGAAGAACCGACUAUUUUUCAUCUAAGCGCGCUAAUUUUAUAUAUUUCAUUGGUUACGCUUAUACGAAGAUCAAGAUCGCAAGAGUCAUCGACACCAUGAACAGAUUCUUCGACACAUUCUUUUAGAUAAAUAUUUCCUAAUCGUAAUACUACAUACAUCAAAACGAUUAAAACACAUUUCCCGAUUACGACAUUUAUAUAUAUAUAUAUACAUAUAUAGAAGAAAAGAAAAAUUAUUAUGAAAAUAAACAUCGAGAGAUAUCCAUUAAAAAUUAUUAUAAUAAAUAAAAAGAAAAUUGAUUCUUCUCUUUCUCUUCUCUUUCGUGAAAACAUAUGUAAAAAUACGAUCUUGUAACCAUACAUGAAACACAUGGCGUUUACCAUGUGUUCAACCUCUGACCCGACACAACAGAAAUUCGAAGAAUUAAAGAUAGCUCUAGACUUUAUGUUCACAGAAUUUGUCUUUAUUCUACGAAUAAUUCUAACAAACUUAGUCUAUAUUUAUUGCAAUCUUUUUUCAUUUAGUUUAUUGAUAUUAAUAAAUUGUUAAAACAUAAUCACAGAUAAUUCAAUGAAAGAAGGUAUAAAAAAAAAAAAAAAAAAAAAAAAGAAGUUGAUCAUCAAUUAACUAACCUGUGGCUUUCCCUGAGCAUCAUAACACUUGUCUUCAUCACGAUUCGUCGGUGGCCAUCGAUUAUAAAGUUCAUCCGAGGGAUCAGGAUCAGCCAGCACCACGAAAAACGUGGUGAUAACGAGUAGGAAAAAUUUCAAAAAAAUUCCACACAUUUUGAUUUCUUUCUCAAUUUUUAAAUCUUCCAGUUUCUUUCAAUUCGUUGAUGUCAAUCACUCGACAACACGGAUGCACCAAAAUACAAAUCUCGUUGUUUUACACACCAUUAAAACUUGUAACCCUUAUAUUUCGAUUCACUUUGGCCAAACUUUUCUUUUAUUUUUGAAGAUUUGAGUAGUCGAAUAAUAACGUGAACGGGUCCAUCAGGAUCGAUGAUUUUUUUCGAACGUUGAAUGAUAAAAAUUUUCUUUUCUAUUUAAAAAAAAAAAAAGAGAACAAAAAUGAAUGAUAUACGUUGUUAAUUUCUGUUUUCAGAAAAGCGCGCGGUAAUACGUUAUUUUUUUAAAGUUUCUUUCUACGUAAUAAUAUAUACCGUUGAUCGAUUGAAUUUAUUUUCGAUAUAUUAUUUUUAAUAAAUUACGUGUAUUAUUCGUAGGAUUGUUCGAUCGUAUGAUAUCUACGAUAAAAUGAAUAUUAAAUUUGCUUCGUCUUAACUUACAUACGAGAAAGUCUCAAAGGGAAAGAAUGCAAACGUAAAACAACUCGAGAUAACGAAUGCUUUUCAAGUAAAUCUCAAGAACAUUUCAAGCCUUUGCUACUAGACUAAUGUCAACAAGAUACCGUCUAGUUGCAUCAAGUAUAAGUUACUAUUUAGUUCUGAAAACGAAACUCUAUGCGUCCUCGUACAGUAAGAAACGAUAAAUCUAAGAAGAUAAAGCGUUUGAAAAUUUCUAUAAGUGUCCCUUUGUUCCAUCGUUACUUGAAUAUAAAGAAACAAUCGAGUCAUCACCUACGAAAAAAUUCAGCUUGGUGAAAAUUAGGUUACAAAAGUGGUUGAUCGAAUCUAUCAUCUAAGAAACAGGUCAUUAUAUCUAAAGAAAUAAUAAUAAAAAAAAAAGAAAAAGAAAAAAUAAAAAGAAAAAGAAAAAAUAAUAUAUAAAAUUUAUGUGAUUACAAUCAUAUGGUGUACGUGAGGGUAUUUACUAACGCAUCUUGAGACUGCAAGGAGUACAGUGAUCCUGAAAGUGCAGUGGAAGGAGAUAAAGAAAGAGAAAGAUAGAAAGACAGAGAAAGAGAAAGAGAAAGAGAGAGAGAGAGAGAGAGAGAGAGAGAGAACGGAUAAACUAACAAGCACCGUAUGUAUGUAGAGAGAGAGAGAAAGAAUGAAUAGCUAACAGAUACCGUGUGUGUGUGUGAGAGAGAGAGAAAGAGAGAAAAGUCACGCGAAGAGAGACAGAGAUAACGACAGAGAGGUUUUUUCAAAAAAUCACCAGUCACUCGGAUAAACAAUUCGUAACUCAUCGUAAAUAAGAAAAAACGAUUCAUCUUUUCUAACCUCUUCGUGCAAACGAAAUCUCAAAAAUGUAGAAGUUGAACGAUGUUCCUUUCUUCCCGGUACAAGGCUGCGAACCGAACUGAGACGUAGAAGAAACAAGGAGUGUAGCCGCCGCGUCCGAUGCUGGAGCCGCACUGUCGAACAUCACUGCUCUCUCUUUCUCUCUUUCUUUCAUUCUCCCUCGUUUUUCUUCGUGUAGUAGUAGCGCACGCGCUCUUUCAUGUAAUAGUAGAAAACGUGCUUUUUCUAUAUAUUCUAUCAAAUUACAUUUUAUAUAAAAUAGAAAAACACUUUCGAUAUAUUUAAAAAAAAAAAAAAUUUUUUUUUUCUUUUUUAUACCACUCAUGACAAUUACAUAUACGAUAUUUUUCAAAAAAAAUAUUGUAUAUGUAUUUGUCAAUUACGAAGACUAGGGGUAACACAAAAAGUUGAAAAAUCGUCACGUAAAUAAUUAUCUCAGUUACAUAUUCAAUAUUCGUUUUGCUUGAGAAAUAAAAGUUGAUCUAUUUAAAAAUUGUCCAAUAUUCAAUGCAAAUGAGAAACAGUUAUAGAGUAAAUAUGAUUUAAUAUCGACGUAUGCAUACGAUUAAAACAUCAUAAAACAUCAUUAGUUCUGGGUAUAUAUAUCCUCGACAUUCAUUUGUGUAUAUGCUUCCUGAAUAUGCUUACACAUGGUUAUAAUAAUUGUUAUCUGACGCGAACGGAAAUACGAAAAAGAUUAAACAGUCAGGGAACGAUGACUUCUUCUCACGAAUUGUCAUUAUUUCAAAUGAGUUUCAAUUCUCUCUCUCUCUCUCUCUCUCUCUCUCUCUCUCUCUCUCAAAAUUAAGUAUUUAUAAGAAUCGUAAUUCGAAUAAUAUUAAAUUAUGUUCGUAUAUUAAUUUUGUUAUACACGUAUCGGUAGGUUAGAUUUUAUACAAAUUUUACCAUUUUUAUUACAAAUAUUUAUCACGAAUGUUGGAAGUCGGAUGCUUCAGCAGAUAUAUUUUUACCCGGAAAUGCUAAAUGAUACCAUGAUUCCAAUAUAUACACACACAUAUAUAAUACCUUUUAUACCAUAUAUAUAAAUAUGCAUCAUGUACGAACAAAUUACAGUAUCUUUUAAUAUUACUUCAUCAAUUUCUUAAUUUCACAAAGUUAUGAAGUUAUCAAAAUAGUAAAAACUCAAGUAAUGUUAAAUUAAUUAUAAACACAUAAUUUAUUUGCAUUUGUUACAUUUUAUAAACAAUUCAUACGUAAUCAUGAAACAAAAUAAUUUUGUUGUCAAAAUAACUGAUGAAGACCUUAUAGAUUUAAAUAAUAAUUGAAAAGAAAAAUAAUGUUUCGAAUCACUUUUUUCGUUUGGAAACCUAACCUAAUGAAGCUUUAAAAGAAUUUAUGUCAGAUCUUAACUUUCAUCUCACUUAAAAGAACUUUAAUUUCAUUUUAAUGAUAAUAAUUGAAUAAUACUAUUUCCACAAAAAUAAAUUACAUUGUUUUAAAUUUUAUAGCACAUCAAUUACUAGAUAGACAUUAACGUUCUAAAUUUGUUUACACAUUAAAUGAAAGACCACGAAUCAAUGUGCCACAAUAUGUUCACUGUUAAUUAUGAACAAUUUUGAUUGGUUAGAUCUGGUACGUAUUUCAUUGGUUUAGGUUGACCUACCAAGAGCGAGAUAGAUCUGUGAUUUUUUUUUGUCAUUGACAACAUAAUUGUACAGUAUUAUGUCGAAUGAAAAUAUAUUUAUUACUCAAAAAUAUUGAGUAAAUUGUAAAUUUGUGAAGAAAAAUAUAUAUAAAACAUAAUGACGCAAUAACUUCAAAAAUAUACGAACAAGAAAUAAAAAGUAUAAAUGUCAAUAUAUACUUUAUUUAAAAUUUAUGACAUAUUACA